GAGCCAAUUUACGCUGAAUGAGCUUCGCUCGCUCAAAUCCGAGUUCAAAGAUGGACUUUCAAGACUGAAAGAAAGGAGCAGCAGCUUGGAUAAUGAGGCCUUUCUGUCGAUAUACUUGGAGAUUCAAAAGAGCGGCGUCAAAAUCAGCCCACAAACGAGCCCAUGAAAAG